CAUGUACUCCCCCCCUUCAGAAUUUCUUGUCGCGGAAAUGGAUGUAUCUAGACGUAUUUUAGUUCUAGAUACAUCCAUUUAUGCGACAAGUAAUUCGGGUCUGGGGGAGUAGUAC
rfam:Triticum urartu cultivar G1812 contig938985, whole genome shotgun sequence.